AUGUGGAGGCUAUAUACAGGGGGUACCGGUACAGAGUCAGGGUGGAGGCUAUAUACAGGGGGUACCGGUACAGAGUCAGGGUGGAGGCUAUAUACAGGGGGUACCGGUACAGAGUCAGGGUGGAGGCUAUAUACAGGGGGUACCGGUACAGAGUCAGGGUGGAGGCUAUAUACAGGGGGUACCGGUACAGAGUCAGGGUGGAGGCUAUAUACAGGGGGUACCGGUACAGAGUCAGGGUGGAGGCUAUAUACAGGGGUACCGGUACAGAGUCAGGGUGGAGGCUAUAUACAGGGGUACCGGUACAGAGUCAGGGUGGAGGCUAUAUACAGGGUAUUACGGUAUAGAGUCAGGGUGGAGGCUAUAUACAGGGGGUACCGGUACAGAGUCAGGGUGGAGGCUAUAUACAGGGUAUUACGGUACAGAGUCAGGGUGGAGGCUAUAUACAGGGGGUACCGGUACAGAGUCAGGGUGGAGGCUAUAUACAGGGGGUACCGGUACAGAGUCAGGGUGGAGGCUAUAUACAGGGGGUACCGGUACAGAGUCAGGGUGGAGGCUAUAUACAGGGGGUACCGGUACAGAGUCAGGGUGGAGGCUAUAUACAGGGGGCACCGGUACAGAGUCAGGGUGGAGGCUAUAUACAGGGGGCACCGGUACAGAGUCAGGGUGGAGGCUAUAUACAGGGGGUACCGGUACAGAGUCAGGGUGGAGGCUAUAUACAGGGGGUACCGGUACAGAGUCAAUGUGGAGGCUAUAUACAGGGGGUACUGGUACAGAGUCAGGGUGGAGGCUAUAUACAGGGGGUACCGGUACAGAGUCAGGGUGGAGGCUAUAUACAGGGGGUACCGGUACAGAGUCAGGGUGGAGGCUAUAUACAGGGGGUACCGGUACAGAGUCAGGGUGGAGGCUAUAUACAGGGGGUACCGGUACAGAGUCAAUGUGGAGGCUAUAUACAGGGGGCACCGGUACAGAGUCAGGGUGGAGGCUAUAUACAGGGGGCACCGGUACCGAGUCAAUGUGGAGGCUAUAUACAGGGGGCACCGGUACCGAGUCAAUGUGGAGGCUAUAUACAGGGGGUACUGGUACAGAGUCAGGGUGGAGGCUAUAUACAGGGGGUACCGGUACAGAGUCAAUGUGGAGGCUAUAUACAGGGGGUACCGGUACAGAGUCAGGGUGGAGGCUAUAUACAGGGUGCACCGGUACAGAGUGAUGUACUGGGCCGUUCGCACUAGCCUCUGUAGCGCCUUACGGUCGAAUGCAGAGCAGUUGCCAUACCAGGCAGUGAUGCAAACGGUCAGGAUGCUCUCGAUGGUGCAGCUGUAG
rnacentral:lncRNA from 1 species